CAGCCGCCACGGGAAUACGAAGGGUGCAAGCGUUACUCGGAAUUACUGGGCGUAAAGCGUGCGUAGGUGGUGGUUUAAGUCCGUUGUGAAAGCCCUGGGCUCAACCUGGGAAUUGCAGUGGAUACUGGGUCACUAGAGUGUGGUAGAGGAUAGUGGAAUUUCCGGUGUAGCAGUGAAAUGCGUAGAGUUCGGAAGGAACAUCUGUGGCGAAGGCGACUAUCUGGGCCAACACUGACACUGAGGCACGAAAGCGUGGGGAGCAAACAGGAUUAGAUACCCCCGUAGUCCCUGUCUCUUAUAC
rnacentral:rRNA from 1 species